UACGUAGGGCGCAAGCGUUGUCCAGAAUUAUUGGGCGUAAAGAGCUCGUAGGCGGCUUGUCACGUCGGGUGUGAAAGACCGGGGCUUAACCCCGGUUCUGCAUUCGAUACGGGCUGGCUAGAGUGUGGUAGGGGAGAUCGGAAUUCCUGGUGUAGCGGUGAAAUGCGCAGAUAUCAGGAGGAACACCGGUGGCGAAGGCGGAUCUCUGGGCCAUUACUGACGCUGAGGAGCGAAAGCGUGGGGAGCGAACAGG
rnacentral:rRNA from 1 species